CCAAGACCAUUUGAACUCAAAGAAUCAAACCAAAAAUCCGAAUAUAAACCCUGAUAGCUACUGUAGUCGUGUUUUUAACCUUUCUGUCCAAACCAAGAUUAGCCCUCACCUAAAACUUCUAUGGUGGUGUUAUAAUGCUUUUAAACCCUUUUAAGCCUUCUUUUGAAGUCUGCAAUCACCUCUAGAAAAAUUUAAAAUGACUCUGGUAGAGCUACCUUGGUUGCCAUGACCCGAUAUGUGUAUUUGUGGGGCUUUUUAUAGGCGAGAAUGAGGGCAUGAGGGGUCUUGAGCUACAAAGAUCAAGACCUUUGAUUCCUGAGAAAUAUCACAUCGUUGGUUGCAGCCCACAAAUGUCCUUGCCUGAGUUGCAGACUCACAAAGUUGGGUACACAACUGUCUUGUAGGUUUUUGCCGUUUUGGCAAAGGUUUUAACAUGAGUUUGCAGAGGGUUUCAGGGCUACAAAAGGGCGAGGAAAAGAGCUGGGGUUGCAGGUGGUAUGUCAAGGGAGAAGGUCGCUGUCUUCAUUGUCCGGUUCGAUGAGAGUAGAAGAGCAUUAAAUGUCCUAAAACAUGAU